rnacentral:rRNA from 1 species
CCUACGGGGUGCUGCAGUGGGGAAUAUUGGACAAUGGGCGAAAGCCUGAUCCAGCCAUGCCGCGUGUGUGAAGAAGGCCUUCGGGUUGUAAAGCACUUUCAGUGGGGAAGAAAGCCUUGGGGCUAAUACCCUCGAGGAAGGACAUCACCCACAGAAGAAGCACCGGCUAACUCCGUGCCAACAGCCGCGGUAAUACGGAGGGUGCGAGCGUUAAUCGGAAUUACUGGGCGUAAAGCGCGCGUAGGCGGUCUGAUAAGCCGGUUGUGAAAGCCCCGGGCUCAACCUGGGAACGGCAUCCGGAACUGUCAGGCUAGAGUGCAGGAGAGGAAGGUAGAAUUCCCGGUGUAGCGGUGAAAUGCGUAGAGAUCGGGAGGAAUACCAGUGGCGAAGGCGGCCUUCUGGACUGACACUGACGCUGAGGUGCGAAAGCGUGGGUAGCAAACAGGAUUAGAUACCCCUGUAGUC